AUUGAACGCUGGCGGCAUGCUUUACACAUGCAAGUCGAGCGGUAACAGGCCGCAAGGUGCUGACGAGUGGCGAACGGGUGAGUAAUGCAUCGGAACGUGCCCAGUCGUGGGGGAUAACUACUCGAAAGAGUAGCUAAUACCGCAUACGAUCUAUGGAUGAAAGCGGGGGACCGUAAGGCCUCGCGCGAUUGGAGCGGCCGAUGUCAGAUUAGGUAGUUGGUGGGGUAAAGGCUCACCAAGCCAACGAUCUGUAGCUGGUCUGAGAGGACAACCAGCCACACUGGGACUGAGACACGGCCCAGACUCCUACGGGAGGCAGCAGUGGGGAAUUUUGGACAAUGGGCGCAAGCCUGAUCCAGCAAUGCCGCGUGCAGGAAGAGGGCCUUCGGGUUGUAAACUGCUUUUGUACGGAACGAAACGGCUCUGGUUAAUACCCGGGGCUAAUGACGGUACCGUAAGAAUAAGCACCGGCUAACUACGUG
rnacentral:rRNA from 1 species